UGGUGAAAAAAAAAUGAAGUCCCCAUGUUGGAAACCAUUUUAAAAAAUUAAGAAAUAAGAGUGACAAAUCCACAAAAAAAAAGGGGGACCUAAGCUGUCAACAGACAUUAUAGUUCAUUAAUUCCUAAAGCACUCAAUAAAAAGAAGUCUAAAAUGGCACCAAUUUUUUAAUGGCUUCCACACAAAAGUCCCAGUUAGAAGAACAGAAACUAGAAAAUCCUUGGUUCUAAAGAAUUAUAUUGCCAAUUAUGUGA
rnacentral:misc_RNA from 1 species